rnacentral:rRNA from 1 species
GAUCCUGGCUCAGGAUGAACGCUGGCGGCGUGCUUAACACAUUCAAGUCGAACGGGCGAGAGGAAGCAAUUCCUUUGCUAGUGGCGGACGGGUGAGUAACGCGUGAGCAACCUACCUUUACGAGUGGGAUAACAAUUGGAAACGAUUGCUAAUACCGCAUAAUGUAUAGAUACCGCAUGAUAUCUAUACCAAAGAAAAUCGCGUAAAGAUGGGCUCGCGUCCCAUUAGACAGUUGGUGAGGUAACGGCCCACCAAAUCUACGAUGGGUAGCCGGACUGAGAGGUUGAACGGCCACAUUGGAACUGAGAAACGGUCCAGACUCCUACGGGAGGCAGCAGUGGGGAAUAUUGGGCAAUGGGCGAAAGCCUGACCCAGCGACGCCGCGUGAAGGAAGAAGGUCUUCGGAUUGUAAACUUUAGUCAACAGGGAAGAAGAAAGUGACGGUACCUGUAGAGGAAGCCACGGCUAACUACGUGCCAGCAGCCGC